rnacentral:lncRNA from 1 species
CCCCCUAGAAACGUAUAAGAAGUUUUCUCCUCGUACGGCUCGAGAAAAAAAUGAUUAAUUUAAAGUUAUGUCUAUGUAUGGAAUUAGAAUGUAUGGAAUUAGAAUGUCAAAAAGAUCCAUAAACCAGCAAAUCAAUUAGACAUUUAACCCCGUCUUUUUUUUCAAAAAAAAAGAAGAAAAAAGCAUUCGUACUCUCAUAACUCAAGUCAAAUUACUCGUAAAAGGCAUUCCUUUAUUGAGUGGUCUCUAACCCCUUUUUUGUUUGUCUCGCUUAGAAUCUAUU